GACGUAGGGCGCGAGCGUUGUCCGGAUUUAUUGGGCGUAAAGAGCUCGUAGGCGGCUUGUCGCGUCGACUGUGAAAACCCGCGGCUUAACUGCGGGACUGCAGUCGAUACGGGCAGACUAGAGUGCGGUAGGGGAGACUGGAAUUCCUGGUGUAGCGGUGAAAUGCGCAGAUAUCAGGAAGAACACCCGUGGCGAAGGCGGCUCUCUGGGACGGUACUGACGCUGAGACGCGAAAGCGUGGGGAGCGAACAGG
rnacentral:rRNA from 1 species